AGGGGACCCGCAAGGGUAACCGGCGAACGGGUGCGUAACACGUGAGCAACCUACCGAAAUCUGGGGGAUAGCCGGCCCAACGGCCGGGUAAUACCGCAUACGCUCUUUCCACGGCAUUGUGGAUUGAGGAAACCUCCGGGGGAUUUCGAGGGGCUCGCGGCCUAUCAGCUAGUUGGCGAGGUCACGGCUCACCAAGGCGACGACGGGUAGCUGGUCUGAGAGGAUGGCCAGCCACAUUGGGACUGAGAAACGGCCCAGACUCCUACGGGAGGCAGCAGUGGGGAAUCUUGCGCAAUGGCCGAAAGGCUGACGCAGCGACGCCGCGUGUGGGAGGAAGCCUUUCGGGGUGUAAACCACUGUUGCCCGGGACGAACAGCUCCUUCGUGGAGCCUGACGGUACCGGGUGAGGAAGCACCGGCUAACUCCGUGCCAGCAGCCGCGGUAAUACGGGGGGUGCGAGCGUUGUCCGGAAUCACUGGGCGUAAAGGGCGCGUAGGUGGCUUGGCAAGCGCGUGGUGAAAGCCCGGGGCUCAACCCCGGGUCUGCCAUGCGAACUGCUAUGGCUUGAGCACUGUAGAGGCAGGUAGAAUUCCGGGUGUAGCGGUGGAAUGCGUAGAGAUCCGGAAGAAUACCGGUGGCGAAGGCGGCCUGCUGGGCAGUGGCUGACACUGAGGCGCGACAGCGUGGGGAGCAAACAGGAUUAGAUACCCUGGUAGUCCACGCCGUAAACGAUGGGCACUAGGUGCUUGGGGGAGCGACCCUCUGAGUGCCGUCGCUAACGCAGUAAGUGCCCCGCCUGGGGAGUACGGCCGCAAGGCUGAAACUCAAAGGAAUUGACGGGGGCCCGCACAAGCGGUGGAGCAUGUGGUUUAAUUCGACGCAACGCGAAGAACCUUACCUGGGCUUGACAUGCAUGGGAAGCCUUUGAGAGAUCAGAGGUGCUCUUCGGAGCUCAUGCACAGAUGCUGCAUGGCUGUCG
rnacentral:rRNA from 1 species